rnacentral:sRNA from 13 species
GCUAGCCAUCGACAGGUAGAUGCCACCUUUAGCGAAUGAAAGGGAAGAGAAAAGGUGGGGGAGGGGGGCUCAACGCGCUACCUUCCAGUAGUGAACAUGGUAGAGUUUAAACAAAUAAUGUCUUUAUUUUAGUCAAUCGUUUUGUGCAAGACUCCGCCCCUAGACCACAAGCACGAUCAGUUGACCUAUAGUACCAAAAAGGAGAGUGUGUUUGUGUACCAACGUGAAUGUAGGUCAAGCGUGUGUGUGUGUGUGUGUCUCCUACGUCAUAAGUGAGACAGAAUGAAGGACCUACGUAGCGAGAGAGGGAAACACGCCCUGUGUAGCGGUGUAACCGUUUCCUCUACAGCCGGUCUAGGAUAGUCUCUGUCUCUCUCUCCAUUGGAUUGAGAGCAGGCCAGACUACUGUGUGUUACUGUGUUACUGUUAUUUCUAGUUGGAUAUUACAAUCUUCAAUGACUUCAAAUUAUGUGGAUUACUGUAUUUUGAUGGAUAGUGGCGGUGGAUACAUUAUUAACUGGAAUUAAAGUCAGUCUAAUCUCCAAGCAAGGCUUUGUCGGGCUAAGCUUUUAAGCCUUAAGUGACUGAAGUCACUCAAUCUAGAUGUCAUUCUAGAUCUAAUUCUAAGUGUAUUGACUAUAAUGAACAUGGUCGAUGUGAGGUCCUAAAACGUUCUGGAUAUUAGUGUGACAGUAGAUACCUCUGAUGUUAUUCACCGGACUUGUCUGAGCGAACUGUAGCGUGGAACAGAAAUCUCGUGCCUUUCAACAUUAAGGGAUUCUCGUGUUAAAAUAAAAUUAAAUUGAAUCAUGGAUUUUUAAACAUUCUUGGAGAAGGAGAAACUUUUUUUUUUUAAAUUUGAGUUCAUAAUGGUCUCAAAUUAAAUUGCGGCCAGGAAAAGGCAGACUAAAAAAUAAUGGGCUGUAGACCGAGUGAGUGACGACUGGUAGCAACCUGCUUGACCAUGUUUUGCGGCCUGAGCCGGAAGUUGGCGCAGUCCUUCUCGAGGGGCUCCCGCCGCUAUGAAGAGAAGAAGGAGAAGAAGAAGAAGCUCAAGAAGCGGAGGUCAAGGUCACUGGACAGCUAUGACCUUGAGAUCUCGGCCGAAUUUUCCACUGUUACUGUGUACGAAGAGAAAAUCGAGCAAGGCCAAACUAGCCACACAGAAAUGAUGUCUGGGCAGCACAACUGGUACGCCUGUUCCCAUGCCCGACCGACUUAUUGCAACGUCUGUCGUGAGGCGCUGUCUGGGGUCACGUCA